rnacentral:rRNA from 1 species
UACGUAGGGUGCGAGCGUUAUUCGGAAUUACUGGGCGUAAAGCGUGCGCAGGCGGUUGUGCAAGACAGAUGUGAAAUCCCCGGGCUUAACCUGGGAACUGCAUUUGUGACUGCACGGCUAGAGUGUGUCAGAGGGGGGUAGAAUUCCACGUGUAGCAGUGAAAUGCGUAGAUAUGUGGAGGAAUACCGAUGGCGAAGGCGGCCAACUGGACCAUUACUGACGCUGAGGCGCGAAAGCGUGGGGAGCAAACAGG